UACGAAGGGGGCUAGCGUUGCUCGGAAUCACUGGGCGUAAAGCGCACGUAGGCGGAUCUUUAAGUCAGGGGUGAAAUCCCAAGGCUCAACCUUGGAACUGCCUUUGAUACUGGGGAUCUCGAGUCCGGAAGAGGUUGGUGGAACUCCGAGUGUAGAGGUGAAAUUCGUAGAUAUUCGGAAGAACACCAGUGGCGAAGGCGGCCAACUGGUCCGGCACUGACGCUGAGGUGCGAAAGCGUGGGGAGCAAACAGGAUAGAA
rnacentral:rRNA from 1 species